CCUACGGGGUGCAGCAGUCGAGAAUCAUUCACAAUGGGGGAAACCCUGAUGGUGCGACGCCGCGUGGGGGAAUGAAGGUCUUCGGAUUGUAAACCCCUGUCAUGUGGGAGCAAAUUAAAAAGAUAGUACCACAAGAGGAAGAGACGGCUAACUCUGUGCCAGCAGCGGCGGUAAUACAGAGGUCUCAAGCGUUGUUCGGAAUCACUGGGCGUAAAGCGUGCGUAGGCUGUUUCGUAAGUCGUGUGUGAAAGGUGCGGGCUCAACCCGCGGACGGCACAUGAUAGUGCGAGACUAGAGUAAUGGAGGGGGAACCGGAAUUCUCGGUGUAGGAGUGAAAUGCGUAGAUAUCGAGAGGAACACUCGUGGCGAAGGCGGGUUCCUGGACAUUAACUGACGCUGAGGCACGAAGGCCAGGGGAGCGAAAGGGAUUAGAUACCCGAGUAGUC
rnacentral:rRNA from 1 species